rnacentral:rRNA from 1 species
GACGAACGCUGGCGGCGUGCUUAACACAUGCAAGUCGAACGAUGAAGCCGGAGCUUGCUCUGGUGAAUUAGUGGCGAACGGGUGAGUAACACGUGAGUAACCUGCCCUUGACUCUGGGAUAACUGCGGGAAACUGUAGCUAAUACCGGAUACGACCCUAGGAGGCAUCGCCUGGGGGUGGAAAGCUUUUGCGGUGUGGGAUGGGCCCGCGGCCUGUCAGCUUGUUGGUGGGGUGAUGGCCUACCAAGGCCGCGACGGGUAGCCGGCCUGAGAGGGUGACCGGCCACACUGGGACUGAGAUACGGCCCAGACUCCUACGGGAGGCAGCAGUGGGGAAUAUUGCACAAUGGGCGCAAGCCUGAUGCAGCGACGCCGCGUGAGGGAUGACGGCCUUCGGGUUGUAAACCUCUUUCAGCAUCGACGAAGCGAAAGUGACGGUAGGUGCAGAAGAAGGACCGGCCAACUACGUGCCAGCCGCCGCGGUAA